rnacentral:rRNA from 1 species
AUUGAACGCUGGCGGCAUGCUUUACACAUGCAAGUCGAACGGCAGCACGGACUUCGGUCUGGUGGCGAGUGGCGAACGGGUGAGUAAUACAUCGGAACGUACCCAGUAAUGGGGGAUAACUAUCCGAAAGGAUAGCUAAUACCGCAUACGCCCUACGGGGGAAAGAGGGGGAUCGCAAGACCUCUUGUUAUUGGAGCGGCCGAUGGCUGAUUAGCUAGUUGGUAGGGUAAAGGCCUACCAAGGCAACGAUCAGUAGCGGGUCUUAGAGGACGAUCCGCCACACGGGAACGGAGACACGGUCCAGACUCCUACGGGAGGCAGCAGUGGGGAAUCUUGGACAAUGGGCGCAAGCCUGAUCCAGCAAUGCCGCGUGCGUGAAGAAGGCCUUCGGGUUGUAAAGCGCUUUUGUCAGGGAGCAAAUCCUUGUGGCUAAUACCCACCGGGGAUGAGAGUACCUGAAGAAUAAGGACCGGCUAACUACGUGCCAGCAGCCGCGGUAACAU